GGGGAUAUGGCUCAGUGGUAGAGCACCCGCAUUCGUAUCGGAAGGUCCGGGGUUCGACUUCCCCUGCCUCCA
rnacentral:tRNA from 1 species